CUCAUCACUUUAUAACUGACACAGAGAAUUUGCAAAUUACUGUUAUACAUGCUGAAUGAAUUUAAGUAUUGCAGUUAACUAGGAAUUGUAUUAGAUGUGAAUAUCAUGUAUGUUGUCAUUAUAUUAUUGUAAUAUGUUAUUUAUUUGUUUAUUACACACACACACACACGUUUACUACAGUAAAGUCAAAAUGUUCUGAAUCCUGUGCCGUGUUUUUACUGACACCCUGGGGCGAGCACAAUCUCCUGAUCAGCCCAAUAGUUCAAACUUCCCUACAUUGUGGUCCUUCGAGCCGGAUCGUGUGCUUACCACAGAGACAGGAUGUCAGAGCAACCUUCCUUUAAUAGUGUGCGCCCACGACGCAUAACUCAGCCUCCAGCCUAUCUCAGGGACUAUGAAGUACAAUAUCAUAUGCAACCAACUGAACCAGUUAGAAUCAGCCCCAUGCAGCAUCCAUAUGAAGCAGUAGCUGGAGCCAUGAGUACUCCAGUUUCUUGUGUUGAACGACAACCUGAGAGACAGUGGUCCACCACACUGCACUAUGAAAGUGAUGGAGAGGAGGAGCAUUCACUACAAGAGGAUGAGUCUUCAUUCAUAUCUGUUAGACACAGGUUGGAGGUUCAAGAUCUAAAAAGGGAGAAUAUGCAGUUACGUGAAGCUCAGAUGGUCCUUAAGGAGGAAAUUCGCCAGUUACAGACACUUCACAAAGAUAUGCAGACUUUAAGGCUGCAGCAGCAGUCAGCCUUACCAGCAUCUCAACCACAGCCAAUUAGUACAAUUCCAGUGCCACUCCCUAAAACCAUUUAUAGACAACCUGAGGUAACGGCACCAAGUCCAGUGCCCUACAUUCCAGUACCUACUCCACGCAGACCUCAAGCACCACCUAGGGAGAGUUCAUUUAAGUCAGGUGCAGACACAUAUGCCUACAAGUCCAGACCACAGCUUUCUACUGCUCAUAAGCUGCCAUACUCUUCUCCCACGGGGCGGCCUCAGAGCACUGUAUGUCCAGAGACCAGCUACAGGGGCCAACAACCAACGAUUCCAUACUUCACCCGUCAUGACCCUAGCGAGUUCGCUCGUUUAAAGUUGGCUCUUGACAAUCUGCUUCCUGAUGAUGCAAUUGAGCU
rnacentral:lncRNA from 1 species